rnacentral:rRNA from 1 species
UACAGAGGGUGCGAGCGUUGUUCGGAAUUACUGGGCGUAAAGCGCACGUAGGCGGACAUUUCAGUCAGGGUUGAAAUCCCAGAGCUCAACUCUGGAACUGCCUUUGAUACUGGGUGUCUUGAGUAUGGAAGAGGUGAGUGGAAUUCCGAGUGUAGAGGUGAAAUUCGUAGAUAUUCGGAGGAACACCAGUGGCGAAGGCGGCUCACUGGUCCAUUACUGACGCUGAGGUGCGAAAGCGUGGGGAGCAAACAGG